rnacentral:miRNA from 1 species
UAUAAAAAAAAUAAUGAAUGUUUUUAUUCGUGCAAUGGUAGGAAUAUUUUAAUUCGGUGAAAGAUGGAAUGUUCCAUUCAACUCGGCUGUCGCGUUGUUGAAUGGAACAUUCCAUCUUUCACCUAAUGAAAGUAUUCUUACCAUUGCACUCAUAAACAUUCAUUAUUUGUAUAAUA